rnacentral:rRNA from 1 species
UACGGGGGGAGCAAGCGUUGUUCGGAUUUACUGGGCGUAAAGGGCGCGUAGGCGGCCACCGCAAGUCGACUGUGAAAUCUCCGGGCUUAACCCGGAAAGGUCAGCCGAUACUGCGGGGCUAGAGUGCAGAAGGGGCAACUGGAAUUCUCGGUGUAGCGGUGAAAUGCGUAGAUAUCGAGAGGAACACCUGCGGCGAAGGCGGGUUGCUGGGCUGACACUGACGCUGAGGCGCGAAAGCUAGGGGAGCGGACGGG